AUUGAACGCUGGCGGCAGGCCUAACACAUGCAAGUCGAGCGGCAGCGGGAAAGUAGCUUGCUACUUUUGCCGGCGAGCGGCGGACGGGUGAGUAAUGCCUGGGAAAUUGCCCAGUCGAGGGGGAUAACAGUUGGAAACGACUGCUAAUACCGCAUACGCCCUACGGGGGAAAGCAGGGGACCUUCGGGCCUUGCGCGAUUGGAUAUGCCCAGGUGGGAUUAGCUAGUUGGUGAGGUAAUGGCUCACCAAGGCGACGAUCCCUAGCUGGUCUGAGAGGAUGGUCAGCCACACUGGAACGGAGACACGGUCCAGACUCCUACGGGAGGCAGCAGUGGGGAAUAUUGCACAAUGGGGGAAACCCUGAUGCAGCCAUGCCGCGUGUGUGAAGAAGGCCUUCGGGUUGUAAAGCACUUUCAGCGAGGAGGAAAGGUCAGUAGCUAAUAUCUGCUGACUGUGACGUUACUCGCAGAAGAAGCACCGGCUAACUCCGUGCCAGCAGCCGCGGUAACAC
rnacentral:rRNA from 1 species